rnacentral:rRNA from 1 species
UACAGAGGUCCCAAGCGUUGUUCGGAUUCAUUGGGCGUAAAGGGUGUGUAGGCGGUUUUCUAAGUUUGGUGUGAAAUCUCCCGGCUCAACUGGGAGGGUGCGCCGAAAACUGGGGGGCUAGAGUACUGGAUGGGAGAGUGGAAUUCCUGGUGUAGCGGUGAAAUGCGUAGAUAUCAGGAGGAACACCUGUGGUGUAGACGGCUCUCUGGACAGUAACUGACGCUGAGACACGAAAGCGUGGGUAGCAAACAGG